GAAUAAGCUCAGCUGGUUAGAGCAUGGUGCUAAUAACGCCAAGAUUGCAGGUUCUGUCCCCAUAAGAGACA